CGACCGUUCUUACGGUAUCGAGCUAUUGAGGUGCGAGAACUGUUUUUUGUCAUCGUCGCGCAACCUUUCUCAUUCCACGCGGUUUCGAGGCAACAUCGGGAAACAAAUUUGCAAGUUUCGACUGGGCUAGAACGAAUUUGUGAAACCUUUAACCGUGACGACGGUGCCUCAUUAUUUUACCCCGGCCCGGAUUUCCAUUACCGCGUUACUGUGAACGACGAGGAUUUUGAAAGGCUGGAAAUCGUGUCGAACCGAGAAGAACCAUCUAAAGAGUUCCGGCCGGAAUUUCAUUCUGAUGUUACCGCAAUCGGUAAGACAAUAGGAAGGAACAGACUCGGCUUAAUCUACCGUUUCGAAUUUCGAGCAACCCUUAAUUUCUAACGUCGAAAUAUUGCGUAGGUCACAGUCAUUUUUUAUGUGUCUAUUUACUGGCAAACAACAUGUUCCGCCAGGUAAAAUAUUAUACAAUUAGUGCAGCACGUAAUUAGCACGUACUCGA